UACAGGGGGCUCGAGCGUUAGUCGGAAUCACUGGGCUUAAAGGGUGCGUAGGUGGCUCGCCAAGUGCUUUGUGAAAUCCCACAGCUCAACUGUGGAACAGCAGGGCAAACUGGCGGGCUUGAGGCAGGUAGGGGCCGGAAGAACAGUUGGUGGAGCGGUGAAAUGCGUAGAUAUCGUUUGGAACGCCAAUGGUGAAAACAGGUUGCUGGGAGUGUGCUGACGCUGAGACACGAAAGCCAGGGGAGCAAACGGG
rnacentral:rRNA from 1 species